rnacentral:rRNA from 1 species
UACGGAGGGUGCAAGCGUUGUUCGGAAUUACUGGGCGUAAAGCGCGUGUAGGCGGGUGGGCAAGUCAGAUGUGAAAGGCUUCUGCUUAACGGAAGAAGUGCAUUUGAAACUACCCGGCUGGAGUACGGGAGAGGAGAGUGGAAUUCCCGGUGUAGAGGUGAAAUUCGGAGAUAUCGGGAGGAGCACCAGUGGCGAAGGCGGCUUUCUGGACCGAUACAGGCGCUGAGACGCGAAAGCGUGGGGAGCAAACAGG